AUCAUGCUUUUAGCUGUUGAAUGAUAUCUUCUUCAUGCCAAAUGGAUAAAAAAUGAGCAAAUACGAAUCCGAUAAAAAAUGUUAGUCAGAAUCACAUAUUUUCACCGUUGAGAGUUGGGUCUAAAACCAUUGAAAAUGAACCCCCUUUAGGACUUAAGUUGAUGAAUUUCACUUCAUUAAACUGCACACAUAUUCAUAAUAAUUAUUAAGUCGGAAUAAAUCUUAGCUAAGCUACGACACGUUCGUGAUUAAUUGCUUUUUCUUUUGUUAUGCAUUGUUUUAAUUAGGCACAGAGGUGAAAAUAUGCGAUUUUGACUAACAUUUUUAAUCGGCCUCGUACAUGCUUAUUUUUUCUCCACUUGUCAUGAAAAGCAUGUCAUUCAAUAGCUAAAAGCCUGAUCUUUCCGAAUAUGAAAACCAAUUGUUCAUACGCCAAGUAAUUCACGUAUAAUAGCGCGCUGAAGUUCGAUUACCUUUUUUUUUAUACACCCUGUAUAUAUAUAUAUA